ensembl:lncRNA
AUGAGCUUCAUCUGGCUGCAGUGCUGUAUGGGACUUGCUCGGGAAGAAGGUCUCCAAAGAAGUGUGUUUUUGGUUGUAAGGGAAAGAUAACUUGUUCAGCUUCCUAAGGAACCCAGCGUUAUGUAAACGGCAGAUACAGUUGUUUUCCGGGGCAGCAAAGGAGUUUCACAAGUUUUGUUGUUGACGAAUGUUUUAUAAACAAGGCCCAGUUCGAUGCUGGAUUUGCACAUCGUUUGAUUCUGAAGAUGGAGCGGUCCCAGCUAUAAAAGAUCCUGGUCGUGAUUCAGAACUGCAGACGAGAAAUUGGACUGCACCUCCCUUUCCUGCCAGUUUGGUUGCCGUAUUGAAAGAGAUGGUGAAAUGGGCUUUUUGUGUCCUCCAGGGCUCCACUUGGCUUCAGAUAACAGAACCUGCAAAGGCUACUAGAAGGCACAGACCUGCUGGACCUACAGGAGUGUAAACUGGCAAAAACAUGAAGGCUGUAAUGAUAAUGUACAGGGGUGAAGAAUGAGGUCAGGAGAAGAGUUAAAAACCUUCAUGAAACCAUUUUUAUCUGGAAUUCCCAAAGACUCUUCAAAAACCGUGCCAGAAAACUGCAUAAAAGCUGCAUCUACAGGAGUAUUUACACCUAGUCACUUCAUGUGUUUUUACUAAAUAGAUUGCUAUUUGAUCAUGAAAACACAAGUGUAAAUGCCCUCUAAGACACAUUUUAGAUGGAGGUCCUGAGGAGGUUGUUUGAUGUGCAUACAAGAGGCAACUGAGCCACUUACGGAUCUGGUUGUUCAAGCUACAUGUAUAAACCUCUGAAAUGGAACUAGGCCAACUCCAAAAUCCACAUGUGAGGGUCUCUUUUCAUCAAGGGAAUGUGCAAACUGACACAAAUAAAAUAAAAUUAACAGCAUUGCA